UCGGACUCAACGCCGGGAAACUCACCAGAUAAGACAGCUGAAUGAUAGUCGGGCUGAAGACUCUACUUGACUAGCUGAGAGGAGGUGCAUGGCCGUCGUCAGUUCGUACUGUGAAGCAUCCUGUUAAGUCAGGCAACGAGCGAGACCCACGCCAACAGUUGCCAGCUCGUCCUCCGGGAUGGUGGGGACACUGUUGGGACCGCCUCUGCUAAAGAGGAGGAAGGAAUGGGCAACGGUAGGUCAGCAUGCCCCGAAUUAUCUGGGCUACACGCGGGCUACAAUGGGUGGGACAAUGGGUAUCGACACCGAAAGGUGAAGGCAAUCUCCUAAACCUGUCCUUAGUUCGGAUUGUGGGCUGCAACUCGCCCACAUGAAGCUGGAAUCCGUAGUAAUCGCGUUUCAAAAUAGCGCGGUGAAUAUGUCCCUGCUCCUU
rnacentral:rRNA from 1 species